GACGUAGGGGGCGAGCGUUGUCCGGAUUUAUUGGGCGUAAAGCGCGCGUAGGCGGCCUGUUAAGUCGGGUGUGAAAACCCGGGGCUCAACUCCGGGCCUGCAGCCGAUACGGGCAGACUAGAGUUCGGCAGGGGAGACUGGAAUUCCUGGUGUAGCGGUGAAAUGCGCAGAUAUCAGGAGGAACACCGGUGGCGAAGGCGGGUCUCUGGGCCGAUACUGACGCUGAGGAGCGAAAGCGUGGGGAGCGAACAGG
rnacentral:rRNA from 1 species